CUGGGAUUAUAGGCCUGAGCCACUGUGAGCCAGGCCUAUCCUCAUUUUAUUUACAGAGAAACUGGAAUUCAGAGAGAUUCUUGCCCAAGGUCUUGCCCUGGACCAAUUCCAGGUCUAUCUAAUUCCAAAGUCGAUGUUCAGUACACUGUCUCGUGCUUGGGAGCAAAGAGAGGACUUUGCUCCUAAGACCAGAUCCACACCACAAAGAGCCUUAACACUUGCUACUAGGGGAAGCCACCAUCCUCAGGGAAAAGCCAGGUGCUAUUCCCCUCACCCCAGAGGGUUUAGGAUUUGGGAGAAAGAGGCCUGAUGGAACAUAGAGGUGCCAGGUCCAUGUAUUAACUGAUCUGGGUAAAAGAACAAUAGCUCAGGGCCCGCCAGGGAAAGGACAGCCAAGCCCAGGGCACAGCUGCCCAAAUAUCACCUCUCCCUCCUUGUCCCACCAUGCCUUGUCCCAGAAUGAACGUACCCCCUUCAAUUUCCCUCUUUUCCUGUCUCCUGCAUAGGCAGAACCAGCUCUGAGCAAUAGCCAGGGCAGCAGGUCCUCAGGCUUGCCACUACGGCCUGUUUACCCUACACAGACCAUGAUCUAUCAGGUCUGAGUAACGCCCCACUGCUAGGUGUUUGUGUCAAAAACGCCUGCCAGUGGUGCAACAGCUGGGUGGGACCAGUGACGUGGACUCAAAUGCCACAAAAUGUACUGAGCACAUUCUGAGUCAACACAGUGAUGAUGUGCCCAGCCCAGAUAAAGAUUUUCAGUAUUUAUUUGUUUGGGUUUUGUUUAUGUGUACCCCUCUUCAUCACCAAAGAUUUGAGGCAACUGAAAAUGAAAACUGAAAUGGCAAUAAAAGAGAGGGGGUUGCAGAGAGGACACAGGAUGGGGAAAAUAGAAAUAAUUGCAGAAAAUUAUGACCCGAUGAAGAGCACAAUCACAGAAGCGGUAAGAGAUGGCAAGGUUGCCAGAGGGCUGCUUGCGCAUCCUCACAAUAUGGUGACUGUCUUCCCUCAGAAAGAGUGAUCCAAGAGAAAUCAAGGACAUGCUGCUGCCUCCUCCUGGAAGAAAGGGAGUGCUAUGAUAAUGGAAGGAGGGCACGGUGUCCCCUUGCAGGAGCCACUUUUGAUCCUGCCAGGACAAUCAAUCCUUCAAGAGCAGCAAGGCCCUGUGGGUACAGGAAGAGAGUGACCCUCAGAUCCCUUCCCUUUGCCCUAAUCGGGGCCACAUAGUAUACCAGAGACCUCAGGGAUAGUGACCCUGGAUGUUCUCAGAGAACUUUUGACCUUCGAACUUGGGGAUGGGUACAGGGGUGUGGCUAGCAUCGCAGCCUGGCCCACACGGGUGCUGGUCAACACGCCUAUGGGGCACUAACCCAGGUCCACAGAGAAGUCCUUUACUUCCAAAUCACCUGAGGAUCCAGUGGUGACCGGGGAGAUUCUGACCUGAAACUGCUGGCUCUGGGGGACUGCUGGGUAAGCUGAUGUGGGCCAGGCUGGAGUUCAAACACACUUCCCUGGUGCCCACAGGGACUCCCAGCACACGCUCUCCUAUGGGUGUCAACGAUUCAGUCUUUCUUGGUGGCAUAGACUAUAGCCUGGAGAAGCCCUGGGGAAUAUUUCUUUUCUUACUUAUUUCUGAUUUUAAAAGUAAUACUGUCAGGAUGACUAUUGUUAAAAACAAAAUAAAACGAAACCAAAAAAUAACAGAAAACAACAAGCGUUGGAGAGGCUGUGAAGAAAUUGGAAGCCUGGGCAUCGCCAGUGGGAAUGUGAAAUGGUGCGGUUACUAUAAACGACAGUUUGGUGUUUCCUCCAAAACGUAAAUAUAGAAUUACCAUGUGACCUGGCAAUUCCACUUCUGGAUAUAUGCUCAGAAAAACUGAGAGCAAGGACUGGAACAGACAUGUAUACACCCACGUUCACAGCAGCAGUUUUCACAAUUGCUUAAUGGAUAGAGUUUUCUGUUUGGGAUGAUGAAAAAAUUUUCAGAAAUAGUGGUGGUGGUGGUUGCACAACAUU